rnacentral:pre_miRNA from 1 species
AAGAAGUGCAGCCAUGGUUUUCCGCGCCCAACUUUAACCAUUCGUCUUAUUUAAAAUUUUUUUAAAAAAAUUAAAAACAUAAGUCACGAGUAAAGUAUUUUAUCAUCUCAUAACAACAAAAAUGCUAAUUAUAAAAAAAUUUCAAAUAAGAUGGACGAUCAAAGUUGAGCGCGAAAACUCAUGGCUGCAUUUAUU